rnacentral:rRNA from 1 species
UACGUAGGGACCAAGCGUUGUUCGGAUUUACUGGGCGUAAAGGGCGCGUAGGCGGCGUAACAAGUCACUUGUGAAAUCUCCGGGCUUAACCCGGAAAGGUCAGCCGAUACUGCGGGGCUAGAGUGCAGAAGGGGCAACUGGAAUUCUCGGUGUAGCGGUGAAAUGCGUAGAUAUCAAGAGGAACACCUGAGGCGAAGGCGGGUUGCUAGGCUGACACUGACGCUGAGGCGCGAAAGCCAGGGGAGCAAACGGG